rnacentral:rRNA from 1 species
AACGAACGCUGGCGGCAUGCCUAACACAUGCAAGUCGAACGAGACCUUCGGGUCUAGUGGCGCACGGGUGCGUAACGCGUGGGAACCUGCCCUUAGGUUCGGAAUAACUCCCCGAAAGGGGUGCUAAUACCGGAUAAUGUCUUCGGACCAAAGAUUUAUCGCCUUUGGAUGGGCCCGCGUUGGAUUAGCUAGUUGGUAGGGUAAGAGCCUACCAAGGCGACGAUCCAUAGCUGGUCUGAGAGGAUGAUCAGCCACACUGGGACUGAGACACGGCCCAGACUCCUACGGGAGGCAGCAGUGGGGAAUAUUGGAAAAUGGGCGAAAGCCUGAUCCAGCAAUGCCGCGUGAGUGAUGAAGGCCUUAGGGUUGUAAAGCUCUUUUAACCGGGAUGAUAAUGACAGUACCGGGAGAAUAAGCCCCGGCUAACUCCGUG